CCAAAAUGAUGUUAAUAAUUUCCCUUAAUUACCAUGUGGAUGAAAAAUAUCGAGCUUUUUAACACUGAUUGGC